GAUCCAGUGGUGUAAUGGUAGCACACUUGCAUUCAGUUGUAUGUGGAGUUCCUGGAAUUAUGCAAGAGACCUCUGUUCAACUCAGGGUUGGGUCA